rnacentral:rRNA from 1 species
CCCUUAGAUGUUCUGGGCCGCACACGCGCUACACUGAAGGAGGCAGCGUGUACUCCUGGAUCGAAAGAUUUGGGUAACCCGCGAAUCUCCUUCGUGCUAGGGAUUGAGGUUUGCAAUUAUCCUUCAUGAACGAGGAAUUCCCAGUAAGUGCAAGUCAUAAGUUUGCGCUGACUACGUCCCUGCCCUUUGUACACACCGCCCGUCGCUACUACCGAUUGAAUGAUUUAGUGAGGACUUCGGACUGGGACCGAUGCGGCUUUCGGGCUGCGUCGGUAUUCUGGAAAGAUGUCCAAACUGUAUCAUUUAGAGGAAGUAAAANUCGUANCA